rnacentral:rRNA from 1 species
CUGCUGCCUCCCGUAGGAGUUUGGACCGUGUCUCAGUUCCAAUGUGGGGGACCUUCCUCUCAGAACCCCUACGCAUCGUCGGCCUGGUGGGCCGUUGCCCCACCAACUACCUAAUGCGCCGCAUGCCCAUCCGUGACCGGGGUCGCCCCCUUUGGCCGGCAGGGGAUGUCCCCUCCCGGCAUUAUGUUGUAUUAGGCGGGAUUUCUCCCGGUUAUCCAUCUGUCACGGCCAGGUUGCAUACGUGUUACUCACCCGUGCGCCGGUCGCCGGCGG